AGUGAACGCUGGCGGUAGGCCUAACACAUGCAAGUCGAACGGCAGCACAGUAAGAGCUUGCUCUUACGGGUGGCGAGUGGCGGACGGGUGAGGAAUACAUCGGAAUCUACUUUUUCGUGGGGGAUAACGUAGGGAAACUUACGCUAAUACCGCAUACGACCUACGGGUGAAAGCAGGGGAUCUUCUGACCUUGCGCGGUUGAAUGAGCCGAUGUCGGAUUAGCUAGUUGGCGGGGUAAAGGCCCACCAAGUCGACGAUCCGUAGCUGGUCUGAGAGGAUGAUCAGCCACACUGGAACUGAGACACGGUCCAGACUCCUACGGGAGGCAGCAGUGGGGAAUAUUGGACAAUGGGCGCAAGCCUGAUCCAGCCAUACCGCGUGGGUGAAGAAGGCCUUCGGGUUGUAAAGCCCUUUUGUUGGGAAAGAAAAGCAGCAGGUUAAUACCCCGCUGUUCUGACGGUACCCAAAGAAUAAGCACCGGCUAACUUCGUG
rnacentral:rRNA from 1 species